CAGUCGCCGCGGUAAUACGGAGGGUGCGAGCGUUAAUCGGAAUAACUGGGCGUAAAGGGCACGCAGGCGGUUAUUUAAGUGAGGUGUGAAAGCCCCGGGCUUAACCUGGGAAUUGCAUUUCAGGCUGGGUAACUAGAGUACUUUAGGGAGGGGUAGAAUUCCACGUGUAGCGGUGAAAUGCGUAGAGAUGUGGAGGAAUACCGAAGGCGAAGGCAGCCCCAUGGGAAUGUACUGACGCUCAUGUGCGAAAGCGUGGGGAGCAAACAGGAUUAGAUACCCGUGUAGUCCCUGUCUCUUAUAC
rnacentral:rRNA from 1 species